rnacentral:rRNA from 1 species
UGGCGGCAGGCUUAACACAUGCAAGUCGAGCGGUAACAGAGAGUAGCUUGCUACUUUGCUGACGAGCGGCGGACGGGUGAGUAAUGCUUGGGAAUAUGCCUUUACGUGGGGGACAACAGUUGGAAACGACUGCUAAUACCGCAUAAUGUCUUCGGACCAAAGGAGGGGACUCUUCGGAGCCUUUCGCGUAAAGAUUAGCCCAAGUGGGAUUAGCUAGUUGGUGGGGUAAUGGCUCACCAAGGCGACGAUCCCUAGCUGGUUUGAGAGGAUGAUCAGCCACACUGGGACUGAGACACGGCCCAGACUCCUACGGGAGGCAGCAGUGGGGAAUAUUGCACAAUGGGCGAAAGCCUGAUGCAGCCAUGCCGCGUGUGUGAAGAAGGCCUUCGGGUUGUAAAGCACUUUCAGUCGUGAGGAAGGGGUAGUAAUUAAUACUUACUAUCUUUGACGUUAGCGACAGAAGAAGGACCGGCUAACUCCGUGCCA